rnacentral:rRNA from 1 species
UUAUUUAUUUUAUUAUAUUUAUUUAUUGUUUUUCAAUUAUUUAAUAUAAGUAAUUUUAUUGGGUUUUGUCUUAGUAUAUUUUAUAGAACUGAUUUUUAAAAUUAUAGUUUAUUGGUAAUGUAAGUGUUUUAUGAAAUAUUAUCUUAGAUUUUUUAAAGUAAAUUUUAUUUGUUGUACCUUUUGUAUCAGGGUUUAUCAAAAUUUUGGUAUUUAUAAUACUUUUCUCGAUUUGGGUUGAUUUAUAAUUAAUUUAUAGUUAAUGUGUCAUAAUUAUUAUUAAAUUAUUUAUAGAAAUGAGAUGUUAAUCGUUUCCCAAGAUAUCUAGUUUCUUAAGAAAAAAUUUAAUUUUUUAAAGUUAAUUGUUUUUUAUUUAAAUUUUUAAGUAUAAAUAUUAACUUAUUUAUUCUUUAAGGGAUAAGCUUUAAAGUUUAUAACCUAUAAUUUUCUUUUUAUAAUAUAAUAGUAGGCUUUAAACCAGCCAUCUUUGAAAUUACGUUUUAGUUCAUUAUUUUAUAUUUUGAUUUUAUAAUUAUUUUAGGUUUUUUAUUAAAAUUUUUGAUUUAAUUUUAAAAAUUUUUGUAAUAAUGAUUGAAUUAGUAUAUUUAUUUGUAUAAAAUUUUUACCUUGUAAAUUUAUUAUAAGGAACUAGGCAAAAUUGAUUUCCGCCUGUUUAUCAAAAACAUGUCCUCUUGAAAAUAUUUUGAGGUCUGGCCUGCUCACUGAGCUGAUUUUGAAGAGCCGCGGUAUUUUGACCGUGCAAAGGUAGCAUAAUCAUUAGUCUCUUAAUUGGUGGCUGGAAUGAAUGGCUUGACGAGAAAUCAACUGUCUCUUAAUAAUUUUUUGAAUUUAACUUUUAAGUCAAAAGGCUUAAAUUUAUCUUUAGGACGAGAAGACCCUAUAGAGCUUGACAUUUUAUUUUUAUAUAGUUUUUUGUUGAUCUUUCUAUAUUUAAUGAUAAUGUUUUGUUGGGGUGACAUGAAGAAUAAAUAAACUCUUCAUUAUUAUAUCAUUGAUUUAUGUUUGUUAUUUUGAUCCAUAAUUUAUGAUCAUAAGAUUAAGUUACCUUAGGGAUAACAGCGUAAUUGUUUUUGAGAGCUCAUAUCGACAAAGCAGAUUGCGACCUCGAUGUUGGAUUAAGAAAAAUUUUGGGUGCAGUAGCCCAGUGAUUAGGUCUGUUCGACCUUUAAAUUCUUACAUGAUCUGAGUUCAGACCGGCGUGAGCCAGGUCGGUUUCUAUCCUAAGAUUAGUUAAUUCAUAUUAGUACGAAAGGACCAUAUGGUUAAAAUAUUUUUUAUCUAAUUGAUUAAUAUUAAU